GCAAGAGACCGCGGGGGUGGAAAAGGCCGCUCGCUCGAGAUUGCGCGCAGACCGGAUCUCACUACGUUGCCCAGGAUGGUCUUGAACUCCUGGACUCAAGCAAGCCUCUUGCCUCGGCCUCCUAAAAAGCUGGGAUGACAGGCAUGAGUCACCGUGCCCAGUCUUCAUUCUUUAAAUAUUUGGUAGAAUUCAUCAGUGAAGCCAUCUCAUCCGGGGCUUUUCUUUGUUGACAGAUUUUUUAUUACUGAUUCAAUCUCAUUCUAACUAUAGGGUUUGACUCUUUUCACCGACAAUAAUCUGGUGCCCAACAUUGGGCCUCGGAGAAGACUCAGGACCCUGAAGGAGUUGCCCAAAACUGGAGCUAAGGUACCAGCAGGAGCCCAUUGAAGCCUCACCGAAUUCGAGCUUCUCCUUCGGUGGAACUGGAUAAAAUGAGAAGAUAGCAAUCUGCAAACCAAGAAGCAGACCCUCAUCAGACACUGGCACCUUGAUUUUGGACUUCCCAGCCUCCAGAACUAAACAGGGUUUCACCAUGUUGCCCAGGCUGGUCUCCAACUCCUGAGCUCAGGCAAUCUGCCCACCUCGGCCUCCCAAAGUGCUGGGAUUACAGAACUUUACGAUCCUACAGGACUGGAUCAUAGAGCUGUGAACAUGCACUAUUCCUCAAAACAAGAGAAGAAAGAACCCAAAACCCAAAAAUGAUUUGAAGAUCAUCAGGCCACCACUCCCACCAUAGGAACAGAGGACCUAACUUGGGGAACAGGGCGGCUGCCUCUGCCUCAGUUUCAAAGAGCAGGACCAGUGCCCAAUGGAGCCAUCGGUGCAGCGCCACCUGUAGCAGCAGAGGCACAGCACUACUCAGCAGAGCCACUGAGGUAUAACUUCAGCCUGGCAGAGCCAUGGGUGUGUGGCCCCCACCAGACAGAGCCACACAGGCAGGACUGCUACCCCAGUGGGUCCCAGAAGGCAGAGCAUUGAGCCAAAGAAGCUCUUCAAGCCUUAACGUCUUACGAAUUUUGCCUUGAUAGGUUUGGGACUUUCUUGGGACUCCAUCAUCCCUUUCUUCUUUCCUAUUUCUCCUUUUUGGGAUGGGAAUAUUUAUCCUAUCCCUUUCCCACAAUUUUAUUUUGGAAACACGCAACUAAUUUGAUUUCACAAGUUCACAGCUGGAGAGGAAUUUUGCCUCACAAUGAAUCUUACCUCUAUUCUUAUUCAUAUCUCAUUUAGAUGAGACUUUGGGCUUUAAACUUUAGAGUUCAGGCUGCAAUGAGUUAAGACUUUUGAGGCUGUUGAGUUGGAAUGAAUGUAUUUUGCAUAUGAGAUGGGCAGGAGUUUUGGGGGUCCAGUGGCAGAAUGCUAUAGACUGAAUUGUUGUGUCCCAGCAAAUUCAUAUGUUGAAAUUCUAACCUCCAGUGUGAUUGUAUUAAGAGGUAGGGACCUUUGGGAGGUAAUUAGGUCAUGAGGGUGGAACCCUCAUGAAUGGCAUUAAUACCCUUAUAAGAAAAGACAUGAAAGUGUGAUCUCACUCUCUUUCUUUCUUCCCACCAUGUGAGAAUGCAACAGCAAGACAGCCGUCUACAAACCAGGAAGAGUGCCCUCGCCAGAAAAUGGAUUUGCUGGCACUUUGAUAUUGGAAUUCCCAGCCCCCAGGACUGUGAGAAAUAAAUUUCUGUCAUUUAAGCCA
rnacentral:lncRNA from 1 species